rnacentral:rRNA from 1 species
GUGGCUAACCUGCCCUCGAGACGGAAACAACCCCGGGAAACUGGGGCUAAUUUCCGAUAGGCGAAGAGCUCUGGAAUGAGCCUUCACCCAAACAGCAACCAGGCUAUGCUUCUGGUUGUCGCUCGAGGAUGGGGCCGCGACCGAUCAGGUUGUUGGUGAGGCAACGGCUCACCAAGCCUAUAACCGGUGCGGGCCGUGGGAGCGGGAGCCCGGAGAUGGGCACUGAGACAAGGGCCCAGGCCCUACGGGGCGCAGCAGUCGCGCAAACUUUGCAAUACACGAAAGUGUGACAGGGCUAUCCCGAGUGCCGUCCGCUGAGGAUGGCUUUUACCCAGUCUAGAACGCUGGGGGAAUAAGGAGAGGGCAAGUCUGGUGUCAGCCGCCGCGGUAAUACCAGCUCUCCGAGUGGUGUGGAUGUUUAUUGGGCCUAAAGCAUCCGUAGCUGGCCAAGUCAGUCCCUUGUUAAACCCACCGAAUUAAUCGUUGGAUUGCGGGGGAUACUACUCGGCUAGGGGACGAGAGAGGCAGACGGUAUUUUCGGGGUAGGGGUGAAAUCCUAUAAUCCCGAGAAGACCACCAGUGGCGAAGGCUGUCUGCUAGAACGCGCCCGACGGUGAGGGAUGAAAGCUGGGGGAGCGAACCGGAUUAGAUACCCGGGUAGUCCCAGCUGUAAACGAUGCAGGCUAGGUGUUUGGACGGCCACGUGCCGUUCUAGUGCCGCAGGGAAGCUGUUAAGCCUGCCGCCUGGGGAGUACGGUCGCAAGAUUGAAACUUAAAGGAAUUGGCGGGGGAGCACCACAAGGGGUGAAGCUUGCGGUUUAAUUGGUCAACGCCGGAAAUCUCACCGGGAGCGACAGCAGUUUGAAGGCCAGAUUAAAGGUCUUGCCAGACGAGCUGAGAGGAGGUGCAUGGCCGUCGCCAGUUCGUGCCGUGAGGUGUCCUGUUAAGUCAGGCAACGAUCGAGACCCGCGUCCUCUGUUGCUACCAGCUUUGAGCUGGGCACACUGAGGAGACCGCCACUGAUAAAGUGGAGGAAGGAGCGGGCCACGGCAGGUCAGUAUGCCCCGAAUCUCCCGGGCCACACGCGAGCUGCAAUGGCAGGUACAAUGGGUCCCGACCUCGAAAGGGGAAGGCAAUCUCGAAAGCCUGCCGUAGUUGGGAUUGAGGGUUGUAACCCAUCCUCAUGAACAUGGAAUCCCUAGUAAUCGCGUGUCAUC